rnacentral:lncRNA from 1 species
UGUUAUAUUUUUUAUGCAAAUUAACGGGAAAAAGAAUUGAAAACGCAUUGUUACAUUUGAACUGGAUUCAAAACGAACAAAUUAAUGAUUAGUAAGUUUCUUCAUCCAAGAAUAACUAUUUCCUGUUUAAUCUAUUGACGUAUUGCUGCCAGAGAAUCAAGUUCUAGCAUUCAACUUCGAGCGCACAAGGAUGACAAGUUAAAAACAAGACCAACCACUUCGGAAACUUCAUGCCUCUAGCUGUGUCAGUUCGAAGAGUUUACUCAAAGGACAAAGGAUCCCAUGUAUAUUAUACUCACCAAACAUUGAAUAAUUUCAAAACAUAUAGUCACUUAAAACUACACCAUCGACAGGAAACAGUAUAUCGGGCUUGUUUGAACACUCGACAGAACAAAGAAGAGAAAAGCAAUCUUUUCUGUUCAUGCAGAAAUCGAACAGAAGAAAAUGAUUUCGUAUGGUUCCACUUCAGUUAAAUGGUUUUUAAUUUUGCAACAAAAUGGACACAGUUUGCAUUCGGAAGUUACAAUAGUUUCAAUAUACAUCCCUCCAAGGACGUAAACAUUUGCACCCGUUUUAACGAUCCAUAUUGCUUACAAGUGCAUGAAGUAUGAAGAAAAAACGCCAUACAGAUUAUUUAGUAUUGAAGACAUUGAUUUAGAUUCGAGAAAUACAAACAAAAAAUGUGGAAUUAAACAAAAAAAUUCAAAUGAUUGCAUUAAAAUGUGUGCCAUGUGUACAGUUUAAUUGCGUAUUGUUAAUCUGUAUAAUAAAGUUCACUGCACUUAUUGAUAUGUAGAGAGAGUAACAGUGAGUUGAUGAAUUAUAAUAAU